UAAGAAAACAAUAUAUUCAAAAAAAUUUGUUAUAUAAUUCUUUACAAAAAUCCCUUGUCCUCUCCCAGCACAAAUUCGAGUUCCGAGACAGAUACGGCAUACUCCAACCAAUCUACAAUUUCUUCCGUCAGAUAGAUGGCCGACAACUCAUUUCCCGGCCAAUUAUCAAUUUCACUCACAACUCUUGAUCCAAAUAUGCGGGUGUGGGGUCUUCCCACGUUCCUCUCUCCACUUUUGGGUCCUCUUUGGCUACUCCUCCCGACUCUCGUUCCUCUCGGUUCCAAUUACCUUCAGUAUCAGUCACGGCUUCACGAUGUCAUGGACGUCCAUGCCACCUCUUCGGAUCUCGCUUGGGGACUCGUGUUCUCCAGUCAUUCCACGAACACCCGAUGUUGAUACUUUCGGCCCUUCCGUCUUCCCGGCUAUUCUACUCGUUGACUCAUAGUUUUCUCUCAUUCCCCGAACGCCCGACUUCGAUGAUCGCAGCCCCUCAUCAUUUACCCUCCUUUGGGGACAUCGGCUUAUAACGUGUUCCUCUUUCCCGCAAUGGUAACACCAACUGGGAUCAACCUGUUUGUAUUCCUGGCCGCCCCUCAAGUGUCUGCCUUGGUCUUAUGAUAUAAUAUAUAUCUAAAUCUUCGAUUCAGCUUCACUUAUAUCCAACCUAAAUUUGAGGCUUAAUAAUAAUUUCCUAAUGCGACGCUUAACCAAUUCCUUAACUUAAAGAUCCGACACACAGGUAAACUAAUUGCUCGAUUAACGAAUCCUCAACUUAAACGUCCACCAUAUGGGUAAACUUCCUCGAUUAACUAAUUCCUAAAAAAAAGAAGAAAAAAAUGGAUUGCUGUGAAAAAAUAUUAUAAUAUAAAGAUAUGAAAAGGUUGGAUAUGAGUCGCAACUGGAUAUUGGAAUAUUUCGAGAUACAUUUUAUCAUAAGAUCAAGGCAGCCACCGGAUCGUUGGGGGCGGCCAGGAAUGCAAACUAGAAGAAUGCCCCAGCCCCAGGUUGAACACCGUCGGUGCUACCAUUGCGGUAAAGAGGGGCACGUUAUAAGCCGAUAUCCCCAAAAGAGGGCAAAUGAUGAAAGACCGUGAGCAUCGAUGUCGGGUGUUCGGGGAAUGACAGGAAACCAUGCGUCAGCGAGUAAAUAGCCGAGAAGGCAGAAAGACCUAAAGCAUCAAUGUCAGGCUUUCGUGGAAUGACUAGAGAACACGAGUCCUCAGUCGAGAUAUCCGAAGAAGUGGCAUGUAUGUCAACAUAGCAGCACGAAGCCGUGUCAGAUACUGGAGGGAAUUAGAACCGGUAGGAACGAGAGUCGGGUGGAGUAGCCAAAUGGGACCUAAAAGUAGACAGAGGAACGUGGGAUGACCCCGCACCCGGAGGAUUGGGUCAAGAGGGGUGAGUGAAAUUGAUAAUGGGUCGGGAAAAGAGUUGUCUGCCACCUAUCUGACGAAAGAAGUUUUAGAUUAGUUGGAGUAUGCCGUAUCUGACUCAGAACUCGAGUUUGUGUUGGAGAAGGAAGGGAUUUUUGUAAAGGAAGAGUUGUGGUGAAAGAGAGAUUUAUAAAUAUAUAUAUAAAUAAAUAAUUAUUUAAUCAAAUUUUUUGAAUGUGGUUUUUUUAU